CGCGCGGGGCCAGACGCGAGGCCUGCCGCCGCCCAGGAGUGGAGACCAGGAAGGGCGGGAGUCGGGCCGUAAAAGGCCAGGCGGGCGGCGGCCGAAGAGAAGCCGGUUUCUAAUCCCGCUCGGCGGCCACCGCUUCUCCGCAGGCGCAGCCGGCGCCCCCACGUGACCGGCGCAGAGGGAGGAGCUACGCCCGGCGCCGCGGAGCACAGAAGAUUUGCCCCGCCUGGUCAUGUGACAGUCACUGCCCGCCCCCGUGUCCCCUCCCGAACUUUGGAACUUCCAGACUGACCCCCAUCUGCGUCUCCGUUCCGCGGUUCUUUAGUUCAUUCAUACUUAGAGCAUUUAUUGAGUGCAUACUAAGUACGAGGCGAAGUGCUGGUCAGGGGCUGAGAGUAGCGAAAUUCAUUAAAGACUCAGUCCUGCCUAAAUAAAUCAUGAUACAAAUAGGAAAAUAAAAAUUAUGCAACCUUUGAAGAUAAGGUGAUUGAAAUACCUAUUAAACUGAAUGUUAGGCCAGAAAGAUUGAAACAUUCCAAGAAAUUAGUAUGAGAUUUGCCUCCCAAAGAUCAGCCACUCCCAGGGAGGGACAAAAGUCAAUCAUGGAAAGUUCAGAAUAAUGACGAAAGAAGUAAUCCCAAAACCCCUUCCCUGCAGCCAAAAGACUUGGCACCAGGAGGAACCGUCCUAGAGCCAAAUACACGUACUCAGAUGGCCUGGGUUUUAAUCCAAACUCUGCUGCUUCCUGGCCAUGUACCUACUACCCACCUACUUAAUAACUGUUGUAAAAAUGGGAAGAUUUGAAACCAGGCAGUCUGGCUCAAAUCUAAGCUUUUAACCACGCUGCUUUCUUUACCAAUGACAACAUCCACUCACUCUAUUGGAUUGUGAAGAUUAAAGGAGUUAAUUCAUGUGAAAGGGCUUCAGUGCCUAUGUACCUAGCAAAGACACACUUGCUCUCACUCACCUAUGUGUGAUCUGUGGGUGUAGGUGUGUGUAUAUGUACACAUGUAAUCUCAGAAGGUAAGAAAACAUUUUCUCUGUACCAAGGAUAGAGUGGUGGUUCAAUAUAUAUGGCCUAUCUGAUCUCAAUCUUCACAAUUUCCUAUAAAACAGAUUGUAUUAUUCUUCCCAUUGUAUAUGAGGAACUGAAGCUCCAAAGCAGCAAAGUAGACAGACACAUGGCAGAGAAACUAUAGUGAGAGUGAAUAUGUAGAUCUAGUGUUCUCUGACUCGAUCAUGUAUGACCCCUUCCUCUACUCUUCUCAUUUCUCUUCCUCCCUAAGCCAACUAAUAAAUAAAAUUCAAUUACUACCUA